CCUACGGGUGGCAGCAGUGAGGAAUAUUGGUCAAUGGACGAGAGUCUGAACCAGCCAAGUAGCGUGAAGGAUGACUGCCCUAUGGGUUGUAAACUUCUUUUAUAUGGGAAUAAAAUGUUCCACGUGUGGGAUUUUGUAUGUACCAUAUGAAUAAGGAUCGGCUAACUCCGUGCCAGCAGCCGCGGUAAUACGGAGGAUCCGAGCGUUAUCCGGAUUUAUUGGGUUUAAAGGGAGCGUAGGUGGAUUGUUAAGUCAGUUGUGAAAGUUUGCGGCUCAACCGUAAAAUUGCAGUUGAAACUGGCAGUCUUGAGUACAGUAGAGGUGUGCGGAAUUCGUGGUGUAGCGGUGAAAUGCUUAGAUAUCACGAAGAACUCAGAUUGCGAAGGCAGUUCACUGGACUGCAACUGACACUGAGGCUCGAAAGUGUGGGUAUCAAACAGGAUUAGAUACCCGGGUAGUC
rnacentral:rRNA from 1 species